UAUAUAUAUAUAUAUAUAUAUAUAUAUAUAUAUAUAUAUAUAUAUAUAUAUAUAUAUAUAUAUAUAUACAUACACACAUUUUAAGAGGUAGCCCCCAAAUAAAAAAAAAAAAAAAACGACAACACUUUGGGGACUCUAGAGAACCUCGGGCCAAUCACACAUCCCUGUGGCGGCGACUUUGCAUUCGGCUGUCAUCCAUAUCAACUUUCGAUGCCAGUUUCUGCGCCUACUAUGGUGAUCACGGGUAACGGGGAAUCAGGGUUCCAUUCCAUACAGGGACCCUGAGAAAUGGCUACCACAUGUCAGGAAGGCAGCAGGUGCGCAAAUGACCCACUAACGAUGUGGGAAGGUAG